UCCUGUCACACUCAGAUGCCACCACCCCAUUGUGCACAAGAGCUCACGGAGGUUCAGGAAGCAACAGGCUCGAGGGGGUAACGCCCAGCAGGUGGAGGCCGGAGCCUUCCUAGCGAGCUCUGCCCCACAGAAAGCCAAGCAAGAUGCCUUCAUUCCAGGCUGUGGUCUCCAGAGGGACAGAGGCCAGCCACUAGCACCUGCGCCUCAAGUCUGCAGUCCCUGGAGGAGACGGGUGCAGAACUGCCUGUCGGGAUCCGUCACUGCUCUACUGAAGACCUAAGCAAAGAAUCCUAAAAUACGAAUACCAAAACCAGUCCUGACGGACAUGGCCCACGCCUGGAGACAGGCUCUGGGCCCAGAAGCCAGGUUUUCAAAGCUGCCCAGGCGCUCGGGAAGUCAGGUAAGGACCUCAGAACCUUGGAAAAAGGCCCCCCCACCAAAAAAAACAGAAUCCAACCUCAUCUGUGAGGCUUCUCCUGUGGCUCUUUCGCAUUCUCAGAGGUUUCUAAAACAAACAUUUCCCCAGGUCAGAAAACAGUACCUUCCAAAGUAAAGCGCCCAGACACCCAUGGCAACACAGACAGGCCCCCAGGCCCUGGGAACACAGACAGGCCCUGGGAACCCGGCGCUUUUCCCAUCGCCAUCCACCUGGAGGAGAGCUGCCAGCGCAGUCCUGCCAGCAUCUGCAAGAAGGCGGCUGCUCCAGAAACCCCAGGCCCCUUUCCUCUAAUCCCCUCCACACAGGAACAUCAAGA